ensembl:snRNA U6 U6 spliceosomal RNA
UUGUGUUGAGCAGCUUCUAUACUAAAAUUGGAAUGACACAGAGAAGAUCAACGUGGCCCCUUGGCAAGGAUGACAUGCAAAUUCUUGAACUGUUCCAUAUUUUU